rnacentral:misc_RNA from 1 species
AAGUCGUAACAAGGUUUCCGUAGGUGAACCUGCGGAAGGAUCAUUAACACGAUUUUAAUCCAUUUAUCAACCACGUGUCAUGAAGCCGAUCAAACGGCUUCGGUUUCUCUCCAUUUUUAAUCUAUGAACCCUUUGAAACUAUUCAGACUCAAACUCAAAUUCGAUUUUUUCGCAGAUGCGGAAAAGCGAAUCAAUAAACGAACAAGAAACAACUCUUAGCGACGGAUUUCUUGGCUCCC